rnacentral:rRNA from 1 species
UCCCAGACUCCUACGGGAGGCAGCAGUGGGGAAUAUUGCACAAUGGGGGAAACCCUGAUGCAGCAACGCCGCGUGAGUGAAGAAGCGUCUCGGCGCGUAAAGCUCUGUCAGCGGGGAAGAAAGAAGACGGUACCCGACCAAGAAGCCCCGGCUAACUACGUGCCAGCAGCCGCGGUAAUACGUAGGGGGCGAGCGUUAUCCGGAAUUACUGGGUGUAAAGGGAGCGUAGACGGCGAAGUAAGCCUGAAGUGGAAGCCCGCGGCCCAACCGCGGAACUGCUUUGGGAACUGUUUUGCUGGAGUAUGGGAGGGGUAAGCGGAAUUCCUGGUGUAGCGGUGAAAUGCGUAGAUAUUAGGAGGAACACCAGUGGCGAAGGCGGCCUACUGGACGGUGACUGACGCUGAGGCUCGAAAGCGUGGGGAGCAAACAGGAUUAGAUACCCGGGUAA